UGGGGAUUGUCCUUAAUACAUUGCAAGUCGAACGGUAACAGGAAUCAGCUUGCUGAUUCGCUGACGAUUUUUGCGGACGGGUGAGUAAUGUCUGGGAAACUGCCUGAUGGAGGGGGAUAACUACUGGAAACGGUAGCUAAUACCGCAUAACGUCGCAAGACCAAAGAGGGGGACCUUCGGGCCUCUUGCCAUCGGAUGUGCCCAGAUGGGAUUAGCUAGUAGGUGGGGUAACGGCUCACCUAGGCGACGAUCCCUAGCUGGUCUGAGAGGAUGACCAGCCACACUGGAACUGAGACACGGUCCAGACUCCUACGGGAGGCAGCAGUGGGGAAUAUUGCACAAUGGGCGCAAGCCUGAUGCAGCCAUGCCGCGUGUAUGAAGAAGGCCUUCGGGUUGUAAAGUACUUUCAGCGGGGAGGAAGGGAGUAAAGUUAAUACCUUUGCUC
rnacentral:rRNA from 1 species